rnacentral:rRNA from 1 species
GCUCAGGAUGAACGCUAGCUACAGGCUUAACACAUGCAAGUCGAGGGGUAGCAGGGUAGCAAUACCGCUGACGACCGGCGCACGGGUGAGUAACACGUAUCCAACCUUCCCAUAACUCGGGGAUAGCCUUUCGAAAGAAAGAUUAAUACCCGAUAGUACUUAUAUAAGGCAUCUUAAAUAAGUUAAAGAUUUAUUGGUUAUGGAUGGGGAUGCGUUCCAUUAGAUAGUUGGUGAGGUAACGGCUCACCAAGUCUUCGAUGGAUAGGGGUUCUGAAAGGAAGGUCCCCCACAUUGGUACUGAGACACGGACCAAACUCCUACGGGAGGCAGCAGUGAGGAAUAUUGGUCAAUGGGCGAGAGCCUGAACCAGCCAAGUA